ensembl:misc_RNA Metazoa_SRP Metazoan signal recognition particle RNA
GUCAGGUGUGGUGGCCCGCGCCUGUAGUCCCAGCUACUAGGGAGACUGAGGCAGAAGAAUCGCUUGAACCCAGGAGGCGGAUGUUGCAGUGAGCGGAGAUCACGCCACUGCACUCCAGCCUGGGUGACAGAGUGAGACUCUGUCUCAA